UAUCAAAUGAUCAAAUUAAGUUUAAGUUUUAACUUUGGAUGAGAGUCUCAUCCAAUUCAAAAACAUUCAUCUUCCCUCCUUCCCCAUCACACAGAACCCCUAAAAGCUAAACUUGGAUUCUUUGAAUUACCAUACAGUGUGCAACAUAAUGAUUCCUACAUGUAUUUAUUCAACAAAUCAUCCAUUAAAUAACAAUGGGCCUUUGAUAUUUUGUCUUGGCUACUGCCUUUGUUUCAAAUGAAACCCAGCUAUAACGAGGUUUGGGAUAUAAA
rnacentral:lncRNA from 1 species